AUGCACAGUAACAAGUAAAACCGAUAGAUGGCUUUAUAGAUGCGUGUAUUUAACGUAAAAUCGAGUUUUAUUAUUGUAUUAAAUAUUUUGGUGAAAUGAAAUUUUAAAGACAAACAAUCUUGUGAUAUCUUGUUUUUUAUAAUUUUCAAGUUAUUGAUGACCUGUGAACGAUUAAAUUUAAAUGAGGUUGGCUUCAAUCUUGCUGGAAUUUUCCCUUUGGACUCUGAACACUAUCUUUUGUAUUUACUGGAAAACGCUGGAUUGAUGUUGAUGUUCAUAACAAAUUUUAAUAAAUCAAGCUCUAAUCAACAGCCAAGUGUCCCUCUUCAAACACAAAAUGUGACAAAUCAAGAAAAUUAAUUCAUUGCUAAUUCAUUUUUCUUGCGUAAAGUAUCAACCAAAAACUGAAGAAAUCAGUUUCAGCGAGACUGAAAAUUAUAAAAAUACGCUGACCAGCGAAUAGUGUAAAUGAGCUACUAACAUGUAAGCAUUUCAUCGUAAUCUCAUUAUCUGGUACUAUACUGUAAUGCCUAAGUUCAAACUGAUGAGAUAUGAAAGUGUAGUUAAUUUAAAGACAUCUUUGCGUGGUAAAGUUCAUAAACUUAUUAGCAUUCAUGCUAAAACAAUGGGUAAAGCUUAUUAAACCAAAUUAAAUUUUUGAUAAAUGAUUAUGAAAUAUCUCAUUAUUUUUAAAAUUAAUAUGAAUAAUUAUGACUUAUAACUGAUAUGUCAUAGAUCAAUAAAAAUUAUUAAUUGUAUUAUCUCGACUAUUAAUUAAAUGUCAGCUGUUGUCAUUAAAUACAUUGUAUCAAUUUAUUAUUAGAAA